CAUAUACCUUGGCCUCUAGGAGGGCAGCGGGCAUGUGGUACCAGGGGCUAUUCAAUCAGGCCUGGCUGCCAAGGGUGGGGAACUCAGCCUGUCUUUGAGGAGACACAGUUCAUACAAAGCUCAGCCCAGAUCCUGGUCCCCAGGCACUAAUCCCAGGGUCAGGCAGAUACUUCGGGAGGUGGCAGAGGAAGCCCUGCACCUCCAGCACCCAUCUCCCUCAAGGCUCUGCUUGGCCCCUCAUUGGCUGAGGUCCAGGAAGGCAGCCCCGUCCCUUCCGGUACCCUUACGCUGCGUUGGGGAGGCUCCAACCUGAUACUGGAAACUCCAGAGUCUCCUCUGGAACACUGCCCGUUGUCCCCAGCACCCCUCAGGGCACCUCAGUGCUGCUCUGCCUCAGUGGGCCUAUCUGGCUCCACCCCUAUCCUGUCCCUCCCUACGUUCAGCCUGGACUGGAUGGCGACUCACAGCAGACCGACCACAGGGCAUACUCAGUGUGGAGUGAGCGUGGGCACCGGGCCUGCGAUGCCAGCCAGGCAGAGGGCCUCUGACCACGGACAGGGCAUGCUCAGGCCUGGCCUCUCCACCCCGGCUGCCCCAAGAGCAGACUUACAGAUGGCUGACAACAGAGGGCCUGGAGCUUCACUCUGAAACCAUGAGCUUGGACACCUUGCCCGGUGAGUGUCAUCCUGAGCCCAAGCCCUGCUCCUGGAAGCUCACCCCACCCUGAUAAUCUGCCAACUCCACACAAGUUCCCAGCAAGUCCAUCACAAGGGCCAGCCCAGACUGGACAUUGAGGAGGUCAGGAGGGGCUGCAGACAAGGCUACACUUGCUCCCUUACGCUAUCGAGUUGUUUUGUGUUUUGUUGCUUUCUGCUUUGUUCUGGAAGGUUUGGGAAUGAACCCUGUCUAGCACUUUCCUGAGCACUGUGCUUCCUGAGCUCAGGCCCUGCAGCUCCCUGCAGCCCCACUUGGGGAGUUGGCCCUGUGGAUCCAAG
rnacentral:lncRNA from 1 species